rnacentral:tRNA from 1 species
GCGUGUAGCUCAGCCAGGUAGAGCGGUGGACUCUUAUUCCAUUGGCCGGGUGUUCGAAUCACCCCCCGCCCGCCA